CUCGCGAUUCCAUCCCUGGAUUCGAACACCGACUUGUCGUAAAGGAGAUAGGAGGAGACGAUGGGAACAACAAAUCUCACACCCAACUUUUAAGUUCAGUUAAAAAUGAGAAGCUGGCAUCACGCGUCAGACAUUUUGCUAUUGUUCCGCUGCUAGCAUACCACGACGACAUUUCGAUUGGGAAAUAUUACUUGAUUUCACCGUAUUUUGAAAAUCAAGACUUGUUCGAUGCAAUACGAUCUGACACUGGGGAACAGAUUCUUCUUGUGUGGAAAACAAGGCUGAAAGUGAUUUACCAGAUAGCCUGUGCAAUAGACUAUAUGCACACACCGAAU